rnacentral:rRNA from 1 species
GACGAACGAGGGAGGAGGGAAGAAUACAUGCAAGUUGAGCGCUGAAGGUUGGUACUUGUACCGACUGGAUGAGCAGCGAACGGGUGAGUAACGCGUGGGGAAUCUGCCUUUGAGCGGGGGACAACACUUGGAAACGAAUGCUAAUACCGCAUAAAAACUUUAAACACAAGUUUUAAGUUUGAAAGAUGCAAUUGCAUCACUCAAAGAUGAUCCCGCGUUGUAUUAGCUAGUUGGUGAGGUAAAGGCUCACCAAGGCGAUGAUACAUAGCCGACCUGAGAGGGUGAUCGGCCACAUUGGGACUGAGACACGGCCCAAACUCCUACGGGAGGCAGCAGUAGGGAAUCUUCGGCAAUGGACGAAAGUCUGACCGAGCAACGCCGCGUGAGUGAAGAAGGUUUUCGGAUCGUAAAACUCUGUUGGUAGAGAAGAACGUUGGUGAGAGUGGAAAGCUCAUCAAGUGACGGUAACUACCCAGAAAGGGACGGCUAACUACGUG